UGAUCAUGGCUCAGGAUGAACGCUAGCGGGAGGCUUAAUACAUGCAAGUCGAACGGCAGCAGGUCGGAUAUUUAUAUUUGAUGCUGGCGAGUGGCGCACGGGUGAGUAACGCGUACACAACCUACCCUUAAGAGGGGGAUAGCCCAGAGAAAUUUGGAUUAAUACCCCAUAAUAUUCUAAAGCUGCAUAGCUUAAGGAUUAAAGUUAAGGCGCUUAAGGAUGGGUGUGCGUCCCAUUAGUUAGUUGGCAGGGUAACGGCCUACCAAGACAGCGAUGGGGUAAGGGGCGUGAGAGCGUGACCCCUCACACGGGUACUGAGACACGGACCCGACUCCUACGGGAGGCAGCAGUAAGGAAUAUUGGACAAUGGGCGCAAGCCUGAUCCAGCCAUCCCGCGUGCAGGAUGAAUGCCCUAUGGGUUGUAAACUGCUUUUAUCAGGGAAGAAAUCCCCCGACGUGUUGGGGGUUGACGGUACCUGAAGAAUAAGCACCGGCUAACUCCGUGCCAGCAGCCGCGGUAAUACGGAGGGUGCAAGCGUUAUCCGGAAUCACUGGGUUUAAAGGGUGCGUAGGCGGCUUAAUAAGUCAGAGGUGAAAGGCCACAGCUUAACUGUGGAACUGCCUUUGAUACUGUUAAGCUAGAAUCAAGUUGAAGUUAGUGGAAUGUGGCAUGUAGCGGUGAAAUGCAUAGAUAUGCCAUAGAACACCGAUUGCGAAGGCAGCUAACUGGGCUUGUAUUGACGCUGAGGCACGAAAGCGUGGGGAGCGAACAGGAUUAGAUACCCUGGUAGUCCACGCCCUAAACGAUGCUAACUCGAUGUGUGAUCUUUAAGAUUGCGUGUCCAAGGGAAACCGUUAAGUUAGCCACCUGGGGAGUACGUUCGCAAGAAUGAAACUCAAAUGAAAU
rnacentral:rRNA from 1 species